rnacentral:rRNA from 1 species
UACGGAGGGUGCAAGCGUUGUUCGGAAUUAUUGGGCGUAAAGCGCGCGCAGGCGGUCUGUUAAGUCUGAUGUGAAAGCCCCGGGCUCAACCCGGGAAGUGCAUUGGAAACUGGCAGACUUGAGUACGGGAGAGGGUAGUGGAAUUCCGAGUGUAGGGGUGAAAUCCGUAGAUAUUCGGAGGAACACCGGUGGCGAAGGCGGCUACCUGGACCGAUACUGACGCUGAGGCGCGAAAGCGUGGGGAGCAAAC